rnacentral:tRNA from 1 species
GGAGAGGUGCUCGAGUGGUUGAAGAGGCACGCCUGGAAAGCGUGUAUACGCCAAAAGCGUAUCGGGGGUUCGAAUCCCUCUCUCUCCG